GAUGAACGCUGGCGGCGUGCCUAAUACAUGCAAGUCGAGCGAACAGACGAGGAGCUUGCUCCUCUGACGUUAGCGGCGGACGGGUGAGUAACACGUGGAUAACCUCCCUAUAAGACUGGGAUAACUUCGGGAAACCGGCGCUAAUACCGGAUAAUAUCUUGAACCGCAUGGUUCAAUAGUGAAAGACGGUUUUGCUGUCACUUAUAGAUGCAUCCCGGCGGCUGUAGCUAGUUGUUAAGGUAACGGCUUACCAAGGCAACGAUGCGUAGCCGACCUGAGAGGGGGAUCGGCCACACGGGAACUGAGACACGGUCCAGACUCCUACGGGAGGCAGCAGUAGGGAAUCUUCCGCAAUGGGCGAAAGCCUGACGGAGCAACGCCGCGUGAGUGAUGAAGGUCUUCGGAUCGUAAAACUCUGUUAUUAGGGAAGAACAAAUGUGUAAGUAACUAUGCACGUCUUGACGGUACCUAAUCAGAAAGCCACGGCUAACUACGUG
rnacentral:rRNA from 1 species